ACGAACGCUGGCGGCGUGCUUAACACCUGCCAGUCGAACGCUGAAGCCCAGCUUUUGUUGGGUGGAUGAGUGGCGAACGGGUGAGUAACACGUGAGUAACCUGCCUCCUUCUUUGGGAUAACGCCCGGAAACGGGUGCUAAUACUGGAUAUUCACUGGUCUUCGCAUGGGGGUUGGUGGAAAGGGUCUUUCUGGUGGGGGAUGGGCUCGCGGCCUAUCAGCUUGUUGGUGGGGUGAUGGCCUACCAAGGCUUUGACGGGUAGCCGGCCUGAGAGGGUGACCGGUCACAUUGGGACUGAGAUACGGCCCAGAGUCCUACGGGAGGCAGCAGUGGGGAAUAGUGCACAAUGGGCGCAAGCCUGAUGCAGCGACGCCGCGGGAGGGAUGGAGGCCUUCGGGUUGUGAACCUCUUUCGCUCAUGGUCAAGCCGCAACAAUGGUUGUGGUGAGGGUAGUGGGUAAAGAAGCGCCGGCUAACUACGUG
rnacentral:rRNA from 1 species